AUUGAACGCUGGCGGCAUGCUUUACACAUGCAAGUCGAACGGUAACAGGCCGCAAGGUGCUGACGAGUGGCGAACGGGUGAGUAAUGCAUCGGAACGUGCCCAGUCGUGGGGGAUAACUACUCGAAAGAGUAGCUAAUACCGCAUACGAUCUAUGGAUGAAAGCGGGGGACCGUAAGGCCUCGCGCGAUUGGAGCGGCCGAUGUCAGAUUAGGUAGUUGGUGGGGUAAAGGCUCACCAAGCCAACGAUAUGUAGCUGGUCUGAGAGGACGACCAGCCACACUGGGACUGAGACACGGCCCAGACUCCUACGGGAGGCAGCAGUGGGGAAUUUUGGACAAUGGGCGCAAGCCUGAUCCAGCAAUGCCGCGUGCAGGAAGAAGGCCUUCGGGUUGUAAACUGCUUUUGUACGGAACGAAACGGCUCUGGUUAAUACCCGGGGCUAAUGACGGUACCGUAAGAAUAAGCACCGGCUAACUACGUG
rnacentral:rRNA from 1 species